rnacentral:rRNA from 1 species
UUUUUGAGAGUUUGAUCCUGGCUCAGGACAAACGCUGGCGGUAUGCCUAACACAUGCAAGUCGAACGGUCGCCUUUGGCGACAGUGGCAAACGGGUGAGUAUCACGUAGAAACAUACCCUUAUUUCGGACAUAGCCCACCGAAAGGUGGAUUAAUUUCCGAUAGCAUCCGAUGCAAUAUUCGGAUUAAAGAAUUUCGAAUAAGGAAUGGUCUGCGUCCUAUCAGCUGGUUGGUGAGGUAAUGGCUCACCAAGGCGACGACGGGUAGCUGGUCUGAGAGGAUGAUCAGCCACAAUGGAACUGUGACACGGUCCAUACUCCUACGGGAGGCAGCAGUGGGGAAUUUUGCGCAAUGGGCGAAAGCCUGACGCAGCAAUACCGCAUGAAGGAUUGAAGGUCUUCGGAUCGUAAACUUCUUUUAUAAGUGAAGAUUAUGACUGUAACUUAUGAAUAAGGACCUGCUAACUUCGUGCCAGCAGCAGCGGUAAUACGAAGGGUCCAAGCGUUGUCCGGAUUUAUUGGGCGUAAAGCGUCCGCAGGUGGUUUGGUAAGUUUUACGAUAAAGACCUUUGCUCAACAAAGGUAUCUUGUAAAAUACUGCCUUACUUGAGGAAAGCAGGGGCAAAUGGAACUCCCGGUGUAGCAGUGAAAUGCGUUGAUAUCGGGAGGAACACC